rnacentral:rRNA from 1 species
AACGGGUGGAGCUUGCGGUUUAAUUGGAUUCAACGCCGGAAAUCUUACCGGACCGACAGCAAUAUGAAGGCCAGGCUGAAGACUUUGCCGGAUUAGCUGAGAGGUGGUGCAUGGCCGUCGUCAGUUCGUACUGUGAAGCAUCCUGUUAAGUCAGGCAACGAGCGAGACCCACGCCCACAGUUGCCAGCGUACUCUCCGGAGUGACGGGUACACUGUGGGACCGCCGCUGCUAAAGCGGAGGAAGGAAUGGGCAACGGUAGGUCAGUAUGCCCCGAAUAUCCCGGGCUACACGCGAGCUACAAUGGUUGGUACAAUGGGUAUCUACCCCGAAAGGGGACGGGAAUCUCCUAAAACCAAUCUUAGUUCGGAUUGAGGGCUGCAACUCGCCCUCAUGAAGCUGGAAUCCGUAGUAAUCGCGUUUCAACAGAACGCGGUGAAUACGUCCCUGCUCCUU